rnacentral:lncRNA from 10 species
UCUCUCUGUGUGUGUGUGUGUGUGUGUGUGUGUGUGUGUGUGUGUGUGAUUUCGUUUGUGUUUGAGAGGGAAUGGUCUUCGCAUCUCCGUGUGCACAUUCCAUAGUGGUUCUGUUGGACCAAGUGCCUGGGAUUUCGUUUGCGUGUUCCUGAGACUGUUUCUCUCCGUUUCUUUGUGGAGCUGUGUCAUCCUGAGGAGAGGAGCCAUGAUGUCUCUCUGCUGCAUUGUGUCUUUAAGGAUGGUGCAUGUCCUUGCACCUGGGUGGCUUGGCGAUUGUAACUGCAGGAGCAGCUGCGGAUGUGAACGUGUGCAGGAGCCCCGCGGCCUAAGCGCAGCGUCUCCGCCCUUGGCUGAGACUGGCGCUCCUCGCCGCUUCCGGCGGUCAGUGCCCC